AUGGAUAUCACUCAGAUUCUGCUAGCUGCUCAGUCUCCAGAUGGCAACCUUCGCUCAGCAGCAGAAGGCAACAUCAAGCAGUUCCAGGAGCAGAAUCUUCCCAACUUCCUCCUAUCCUUGUCAGUGGAGUUAUCAAAUGAUGAAAGACCACCAGAAUCUAGAAGACUUGCUGGUAUUAUCCUUAAGAAUUCACUGGACGCAAAGGAUUCUGCAAAGAAGGAGCUGCUGAUUCAGCAAUGGGUCAGUUUGGAUCCGUCAAUCAAAUUGCAGAUUAAGGAGUCAUUGCUGAUAACACUAGGAUCUUCGGUGGGUGAUGCACGGCAGACAUCAUCACAAGUCAUUGCAAAGAUUGCAUCCAUUGAGAUACCCCGUCGGGAAUGGCAAGACCUCAUUGCCAAAUUAUUGAGCAACAUGACACAGCCUGGGGCCUCUGCGCCACUAAAGCAAGCAACUCUAGAAGCAUUGGGGUAUGUGUGUGAGGAGAUUCCUCCUGAGCACUUGGAGCAGGAUCAAGUGAACGCUGUUCUGACUGCUGUGGUUCAGGGGAUGAACCAGACAGAGCUAAGCUCUGAAGUCCGUCUUGCAGCAGUUAAAGCUCUGUAUAAUGCUCUUGACUUUGCUGAGAGCAACUUUGCAAAUGAGAUGGAGAGGACCUUUAUAAUGAAGGUAAUAUGUGAUACUGCUGUAUCUAAGGAAGUGGAGAUCAGACAGGCAGCCUUUGAAUGCCUUGUGGCAAUUGCAUCCACAUAUUAUGUGCACUUAGAUCCUUAUAUGCAAACCAUAUUCAACCUGACAGCUAAUGCUGUCAAAGGAGAUGAGGAACCAGUUGCACUGCAGGCUGUUGAGUUCUGGAGUACUAUUUGUGAGGAAGAGAUUGAACUCCAAGAGGAAUAUGAGGGAUCUGAUGAUGCUAACUCAACUGUAAAUUAUCGCUUCAUUGAGAAGGCCCUCCCUUCACUUGUUCCAAUGCUGCUAGAAACUCUGUUGAAGCAAGAGGAAGAUCAAGAGCAAGAUGAUAAUGCUUGGAACAUUUCCAUGAGUGGCGGAACAUGCCUUGGACUCAUUGCUAGAACUGUUGGUGAUGCAAUUGUCCCUCUUGUGAUGCCAUUUGUGGAAGCUAACAUCACAAAGCCAGACUGGCGUUGUCGCGAGGCAGCCACUUUUGCAUUUGGUUCUAUCCUUGAUGGCCCAUCCCUUGAGAAACUUGCUCCCCUGGUACAGGCCGGACUUGAUUUCUUGCUCAAUACAAUGAAUGAUCCAAACAGCCAGGUAAAAGACACCACUGCAUGGACUCUUGGACGGGUAUUUGAGCUUUUGCAUUCUCCAUGCAGUACUAAUCCAAUCAUAUCAAAUGCAAACCUUCCUCGUAUCAUGGCUGUCUUGCUAGAGAGUAGCAAAGAUGUUCCAAAUGUGGCUGAGAAAGUCUGUGGAGCCAUAUAUUUUCUUGCCCAAGGUUAUGAAGAUGCAGAGCCGGCCUCAUCUUUGCUCACACCUUAUCUUCCUAAUGUUAUUGCUGCACUCCUUACUGCUGCGGAUCGUGGUGAUAUGACCCAUGUGAGGCUUCGUGCAUCUGCUUAUGAAGCGCUGAAUGAGAUUGUAAGAGUCAGUAACAUACCUGAAACUUCAAGCAUUAUAGGCCAGUUAUUGCAGGAGAUCAUGAGAAGAUUGAACCUGACAUUUGAUCACCAAAUAUUUUCAUCAGGCGACAAGGAGAAGCAAAGCGAUCUGCAGGCUUUGCUGUGUGGUGUACUGCAGGUCAUUAUCCAGAAACUGAGCAGCUCAGAUGCAAAGUCCAUAAUUGCACAGACUGCUGAUCAGCUGAUGCUUCUGUUUCUCCGCGUCUUUGCCUGCCACAGUGCUACUGUACAUGAAGAAGCAAUGCUUGCCAUUGGUGCUCUUGCUUAUGCCACGGGUCCAGAUUUUGUGAAAUACAUGCCUGAGUUUUUCAAGUACCUUGAGGCAGGCUUGCAGAAUUAUGAAGAAUACCAAGUAUGCUCCAUCUCUGUAGGGGUGGUGGGUGAUAUUUGCCGUGCCUUGGAAGAUAAAAUUUUGCCCUUCUGUGAUGGGAUCAUGACUGUGCUUCUCAAGGAUCUCUCAAACUCCCAGCUCAACAGGUCUGUCAAGCCCCCCAUUUUCUCAUGCUUUGGAGACAUUGCUCUUGCAAUCGGUGAGAAUUUUGAGAAAUACCUGCCGUAUGCUAUGCCAAUGCUUCAAGGGGCGGCUGAGCUUCUUGUUGUUUUGGAUCAAAAUGAUGAGGAUAUGGUUGAUUAUGGUAACCAGCUCAGACGGGGAAUAUUUGAGGCUUACUCUGGCAUACUACAGGGCAUAAAGGGUGCAAAAGCUCAGCUGAUGAUACCUUAUGCAGGCCAUCUAUUGCAGUUCACUGAAGCUGUCUACAAAGAUCGGAGCAGGGAUGAGAGCGUGACAAAGGCUGCAGUUGCUGUCCUGGGGGAUCUUGCGGACACACUUGGACCAAUCUCGAAGGAUCUGUUCAAGAGCCACCUCUUCCAUGUUGAGUUCUUGAGGGAGUGCCUCGAUCUGGAUGAUGAAGUCAGGGAGACGGCGUCAUGGACCCAGGGGAUGAUAAACCAAGCGAUAGUUUCCUAG
rnacentral:rRNA from 1 species